UACAGAGGGUGCAAGCGUUAAUCGGAAUCACUGGGCUUAAAGCGUUCGUAGGCGGGCUUGCAGGCGCGUUGUGAAAGCCCCCGGCUCAACCGGGGAACUGCUUCGCGAACCGCAAGUCUUGAGUCAAGUAGGGGCGGUCGGAACGAUAGGUGGAGCGGUGAAAUGCGUAGAGAUCCGGAGGAACACCAGUGGCGAAGGCGAUCUGCUAGGCCUGACCUGACACUCAGCCGCGACAGCAUGGGGAGCGAACGGG
rnacentral:rRNA from 1 species